rnacentral:rRNA from 1 species
AGAGUUUGAUCCUGGCUCAGGAUGAACGCUGGCGGCGUGCCUAAUACAUGCAAGUCGAACGGGUGCAGCAAUGCAUUAGUGGCGAACGGGUGAGUAACACGUUGGUGACCUGCCCCAAAGAUGGGAAUAUCACCUGGAAACGGGUGGCAAAACCGAAUAAGCUCAUGGUAGUUAGAGAGCCAUGAGUAAAAGCGCAAGCUACUUUGGGAGGGACCUGCGUCCCAUCAGCUAGUUGGUAAGGUAACGGCCUACCAAGGCGAAGACGGGUAGGGGGCCUGAGAGGGUGGCCCCCCACAAUGGAACUGAAACACGGUCCAUACACCUGCGGGUGGCAGCAGUAGGGAAUAUUGCUCAAUGGGCGAAAGCCUGAAGCAGCAACGCCGCGUGAACGAAGGAGGCCUUCGGGUCGUAAAGUUCUUUUACAGGGGAUGAGGAAGGACAGUACCCUGUGAAUAAGUCUCGGCUAACUACGUGCCAGCAGCCGCGGUAAAACGUAAGAGACGAGCGUUAUCCGGAUUUACUGGGCGUAAAGCGCGUGUAGGAGGCAUCACAAGUUGAUUGUUAAAGCUCCCGGCUUAACUGGGAGAGGUCGGUCAAGACUGUGAAGCUAGAGUACGAGAGAGGUAAUCGGAACUCCGGGAGUAGUGGUGAAAUGCGUAGAUAUCCGGAAGAACACCAGAGGCGAAAGCGGAUUACUGGCUCGAAACUGACACUGAGACGCGAAAGCCAGGGUAGCAAACGGGAUUAGAGACCCCGGUAGUCCUGGCCGUAAACGAUGUAGACUGGACGUCUGAUAGGAUACUAUGAGGUGUCGAAGCAAACGCGAUAAGUCUACCGCCUGGGGAGUACGGUCGCAAGAUUAAAACUCAAAGGAAUUGACGGGGGCCCGCACAAGCAGCGGAGCGUGUGGUUUAAUUCGAUGAUACACGAAGAACCUUACCAGGGUUUGACAUACAUGUGGUAGUGAAGCGAAAGCAGAACGACUCUUCGGAGAGCAUGAACAGGUGCUGCAUGGCUGUCGUCAGCUCGUGUCGUGAGAUGUUCGGUUAAGCCCGCUAACGAGCGCAACCCUUGUUGUGCGUUACAAGUAUCACACAAGACCGCCGGUAGAAAGCCGGAGGAAGGUGGGGAUGACGUCAAGUCAGCAUGGCCUUUAUAUCCUGGGCUACACACACGCUACAAUGGUCGGUACAAUGGGCAGCGAAAGAGCAAUCUGGAGCGAAUCCUAAAAAGCCGGCCCCAGUUCAGAUUGCAGGCUGCAACCCGCCUGCAUGAAGAUGGAGUUGCUAGUAACCGCAGGUCAGCGAUACUGCGGUGAAUACGUUCCCGGGCCUUGUACACACCGCCCGUCAAG